CCAUCAGACUACAGAAUCACCCAAAUCUGCAACAGUGCAGCCCCCUUGCCAACAGCCUCCUAUUCAAGAUGGAGAGCCAUGCAGCCUACGUGCCUAUCUGACUCUGUGUAUCAUUUAGGUGUUAGUAAGCUGGUUCUGGACACUCCAGCUGGGCCACCACAUGUAGCCGAAUCAGAAAUGAUCUUUCUGUCUUCAAUCUUGCAG